rnacentral:misc_RNA from 1 species
UUUCCGUAGGUGAACCUGCGGAAGGAUCAUUGUCGAAGCCUGCCCCGCAGAACGCCCCGCGAACUUGUAUACCCAACCGGGGGCAGGGGCGAUCUCGCCCCGUGCCCUCGAACGGCAGGGAGACACUCGUGCCUUCUUGUCGAACAACGAACCCCGGCGUGGUCUGCGCCAAGGAACUUCAAUUAAAGAGUCCCUCCGGUCGCCUCGGAAACGAUGCGCGUGUCGGACGCAAAUCUUGUACAAAACCAUAACGACUCUCGGCAACGGAUAUCUCGGCUCUC